UCGUUAGCUUAUUCUUCCACUACUAUAAUCACUUUGCUACAAGAAAAAAAGAGGAUCAAGUUAAACUACCAUAUCAUGAAGUUAAAUCAUCAAAAAGUCAUGGAAAAAUCAUGAAAAACUCGAGAAACAAAAGAAAAAUUAUGCAUUUUUGCUAAGUAAAAUUAUGGUUUCUUCAAUGUAAUUCAAAGCAAUUCUAUGACAACAAAAAUCAGAAGUUGAUUCAUGAGUUUACACAAUUCAAAAGUCCACUUUUCAACACGUAAAAUCACUUUUCAAUGGCCAUGGAAGAGCUUAAUCCUACAACUUUUGUCCAUGAUUAAUUCAUCAAAAAAAUAGUCAAAAGAAUCAAGCUAAAACAUUUAAAUUCAAUUUUAUCACUAAUGACUUUUUGCCUUACAUCCUAACUUGGUACUUCUCCAAAAUUCCAAUAUUUCUACGUCUAAUUACCUCAUUCCU
rnacentral:lncRNA from 1 species